UUCACCCUGGAGGACAAAAGCAAAGUUGAAAUCAGGAUUUGUGCAGCACACAGUGGUUGUAACACAAUGAGCACGACCAGUUCUGGGGGGGUUUAAACCCCGUGAUCACACAACCGAAUUUGCCAACAAGCAGCUCCCCUUAGUGGCCAACAGGGAACAGACCUGAAGGCUCUGCUUUUCACUCAAGCCCUUCCUGUGGGCCAAGGAGAAGCACAGUCCAGAUUUUUGGAAUUGUUUUAAGGUUGCUACCACAGGUAAAUGGGGCACAGAGGCAGGAACUCGUUCCUCCUGUCUGGGUCUUGUCUGCCAAGGCAAUCAGAUCUGGGACUUCUGUGCUGCUUUAUUCAUUUGCAGACCUCAGGAGCCACCUCACCACUGCCUGUUUGUUUACACACAGCCCAGUUAACCCCACCUUUGGUUAGAAUUUGCCAUGCACAGGACAACUCUAGAAAGGAACAAGGAGAUGUACAAAAAAACCCCUAGUGGCUGUUUGUGUCAGAACUCAGGUUUGGAAAAUCCUCUACAAUUUUGAUCACUGGGGAGGUUCAGGUAGGGAAAUGUUUGUGUUGCUUCUGAUUUCUUAAAUCUUCCUUUGUUUUUUUUCUUAAAAAAAGGAGGAGUUUAAGAAACUUAGUGGCAGCAAUUCUCAAAAGUGUAAAGCUCAAUUAAUCCAUGCACCUUUCUGCACAGACUGUCUCUGACCAGAUUGUUCAGAAACAAUCCACGUGCAAAUGUUACUGAAAGCAUCCCAAGUGCAGCUGAAACUCUCAGAGAGCCCAAAGAAAAGGCUAAGCUGGAGUUCCUUUCAAAUUUUAAUAAUAGUUAAUGAGUGAAUCAGCAGUUGGGGUUUAAAUUUUAUCAAUAUAAUAGCAAUUUUACACAUGGGUUAUGGAGCAAUCAUGAAUGACUUGUUAAAAUAUCAUUUCAGGCAAUUUCAAAGUGCAACUAUUUUAUAAAUUUCCCAAACUAAAGAGAUGAAUGGCCUAAGAUGUGAGAGGCAUACAGACAUGAGAGGCAUACAGAAAUAUAUGUAAGUAGCCUUCCCUUUCAGAAAACCACAAACCAGUAUCUAGGACAUACCAUGGACAGUGAUGAUCCAUUUUUAGCACACACCUGCAAAAGGACAAAAAAGAAAAAUGGAAAAUGUUUAUUGGUACUUCAUUACCAACUGCAGAUCAGUAGUAAAACCUUUGAUUUUUGAGAGAUUUCUACAUGACAGAAGUUUUUUAAGGUACAUAAAAUUUUAAGAUGGAACAUUUCUUAGAGUUUGAAGACCAACUAAUGUCCUUGGUUCUUGUGUUAGAUAAAGAGACAUGAACAUGAUUCCUGCCCUAGAGCACUGCUGGCUGCAGCAGGAGCAGAGACCCUGGGGCACCUUUGAGUAAAAAGGCACAUGAAGGAGCAGCCCACUCACAGAACCUCGUGGUGACUGCACUUGGGUGAAGGACAGCCCAUAACUUACAUGGCACAAACAGAGCAAUGGUGACAACGAUCAGGUUUGAUCAGCUGGCAUCUGUCACAGAACCGAAUCCCUGGAAUUAGAGACAAAUUAACACCAAAUAAUGGAAAAGUGCUCUUUUUUCAUGGGUUAGUUGAUCCUGUGCUCAUUUCCUAACUAUUCUUUUUCCUUCCUCUAUCGCUGCAGCAGGUGACUGGGUUUGCAGCUGGUGUUUGCUGCCAGGUCACAAUCAGCUUCCUGGCGAUCUCGGCGAGGAUCUGCCUCUGCACCUCGGGCCUCUCCUCGUUCUCGUAGCGCUCCUGGUCAGCGUAGGACAUGUGGAACUGCAAGCAGAGGCCACGAGAGGAGCAGUUACCCAUGGGGAGCAGAGGGAGCAUUUCAAACACAGUUUCUCUGUAGCAAUUUCAAACAUUAGAAGUGCUCUAUAGGGGAAAGAGAAUUUACUGGAUACAGCAAUCUGAAGGAUCUGUAAAUGUCAGCUGGCACUGCUCUUCAUGGAACAACUUACACUACACCUACUUCUGUCCUUCAUAACCCCAGAAGAAGAAAGUCACCGAGAGAACACUUGGAUUAGCCAAAAGCAUCCAAAGCUCCUCCAGGAAAGAAGGGGAAGAACGUUACAGCAGCCACUGACUCCUUAUUCCUCCAACAUGGCCAUCGUCUUCACCAACACACCGGUCAUUGAGCAAUCCUACUGUGCUAUGACUCAACUUCUGUUAGUGGGCACCAGAACUGAGAAAAAAAACUUUAUCAAAAAUAGCUUUCACUGAAAGAUCAAAUGGAACAGCGAAAAAAACCAAGUGGGCUGCAGAUAGGAACUAGUAUUUUCUGUUUGGCUUGUAAAAUCGGCUCUGGAACUGUGUAAGGGAAAGGGAGAAGAGGCGUGUGGGUGUGCACAGACACACAGAGCUUUUCCUGAAGACUCAGAGGAUCAAAGCUUUUCCAUGUUCUGCCCAUACUGUGACUAAACAGGGCAUUUCUCGAUGCACCCAGAAGGUGCAGCAUGCUGUGUAUCCUCAGGAGGGUGCAAUUACAGGAAAAAAACACUGAAAGAGGAUGCACCUUUAAAAAAUUAACAGCAAAUAUUUCUGGUAUUUCACCCAGAACAUUUGUGAAUCCUUUUACACAAGGAUUGAAUGUCAAAUAAUAAAUUAUCACACGUACCUUUUUCCACAGGGUUGCUCACAGUCACUGGAAAAGAAAAAAAAAACGUGUCCAGAAAGCAAAUAGGAAUCCCAGAGAAGUUUGUGACAAAUAACAUUUCUAUGUGAAAUACAGCCAUUUUAGGAAAAAACCUUCAAAUUCAAGAGGCAAAGAGAGAACCCACAGUUCAGCAUCAAAUCAAAAGCAUCCGUAACAACUCUUCUUCACUCACGCACACCCCCACAGCAAGAUGUUCAGUAACUGUUGCUUGUGCUGUAUUUUCUGCUGUAUUUCUAUAUAUUCUGUAUAUUUUGCAUUAGAAAUACGACACAACCAAUCCUCUGGUGACAGUGAUAAGAUCACCAGGGCUCCUCUAGCACCUGUCCAAGAUUUAUCCCUCUGCAUUUACCACAUACUCAAGGCUGCUUUCUACUCCAGGUUGUCUUGACCCUCCACUGUAAGCACUGUCCCAAAGCAUUUCUGCAUCAGAAUAAUUAAGAAGUCAUAAAUUUCUCAGCUUUGGCCGAGUCAGCAACUGCAAUGACUCCAUUGUUUUUACACUUCCUACCAGCAGAAAUUUUACAACGCCUUCUUGCUUCACCAAAAUGAGAGAAAAGCCCCUACUAACAGAAGCCCUUUGAGCAACCAGCAAAAGGUACAUUGUUCAAUGUCUGCUUGUAAUGACUAUUUGAAAAUCCAUCUAUUAUUUUAAAAGCCAGCAUCCAAGUUUAACAGAAGAGACAAGGACAGCUUUCUUGAACUGAAAACAGAGAGUUCUGUGAUAUUUUGACAGAGCACUGCUUGGAAGACAAAGCUCUGUGACACACAGAAGCGUAGAUGAAAAAAUAAACUGCAUCUUUGCUGUGUCUCUGCCCACUCAAUUUCAGGUAAACAAGACUGUUAGGAAAUCUUUAGUUUUUCCUUUGCUUUGCUGCCAGUCAAGCAAUGAUGAGCUUUUCACAAACACUGCCCAGCUCCCUCCUGACCACACCUGCAGCAGGGCCUCGCAAAGGAUUUUACUUGAGAAAAGACCAUAAAGACAGAUGAUAUAAAAGGUUCUAUGGCAGGAUCACUGUUGUCACUGUGGCAGCAACCACCAGCCAAAUGAAAACUGAGGCCUCCUCCUAUGACUCACUGGCCACCCCAGCCACUGAGAGCUCAAACCCAGCAUCAGGAGGUGCCUCCCAGACAUCACCCCCACAGCACUUUCAGUGCUCGGCACAACUGAAGAUGCAAACCAAGGUUCCAGACAAAGCAUUCACUAUUUACAUGCUCCCAGCAGCUGAGAAGAGGCAGCCAGCUCAGCAAGCCUUGCUGUGUUAGAAAUCUGGAGAGACACAAUGUCCUGGGAGAUGGUUGGCAAGAAACAGCACAGGCCAACAGUUCAUGCUUAAAUCCUGAAAUAAUUCAGUCAUUUCAGCUUCUGCAGAGGUAAACUCCUCCACACACAAAUAAAAGAGAUGAGAGAGAAAUGGGGCAAAAAAAAAGAUAGGCAGGUGUGGGCAAAUGAAUGAUUUUAAGCAGUGAUUCCAGGCAGCAAGCUGAGCUCCUGCCAGCUGACCCAGCAUUUGCAGAGCAGCACAGCCCCAAUCCAAACCCCACUCAAAUCACCUGAGUCUCCUCUAACAGCUGCACUGAGACCUGGGAUCAGCCCGUGUUCAGUAUCACUGAAUUUACACAGCACAUUUCAAAAGACUGACAGCAUUCAGGAAAACACUCUACAUUUUUCGUCUUGGAUGUUCCAAUACCAUUGUUCUUAAACUUGGAUGUUCUAAUGACAGUUACAUGCACCUCAGAGAUAUCAUUCUAUGUGAAUUCUUGAAAGAAACAGCCCACAGCCUCAGAGAUGGGAUAAAUGUGAUGGAGUGUUUGGGGGCUUUGCCAAGCUGCUGAUUAAAACAGACCACAGAAGCUGCAUUUCAUUCUAGUUCCCAUCAAGAGAAAACAACAGGUCUCACUGCAUUGCCAACCUUAACACACACCUGAUUUAUGUUUGUGCAGCACCAGAAGGCAGCUCCUGCCCCAGGAACAUCUCAGACUGUCCUUUCUGGGACCUCUGGUUUCCUUUAUCUGCCUUACUCUGUCCUGAGGAGCCACAUCUCCUCACAAUUUCACAAAUCCAAGCUUCCAGCUCUUCUCUCCACCAGACCUGCCAACCCUUUUUUUCUAGUAGCACACUCAACCAGAAAUAACAAACAGAAGAAAGUUUAUAACUUACUAUAGAGUUAAAUUGCUACAUUAAAUAUACAAUUACCAGACAGCAUAAAACUUCCUUUUCUAAAAGGUAGUGUUUUCAGUGCUACUGUAAUAAUUCCACUCCUGAGUGGGAUUUCACGUAACCUCUUUCUUUCCUUUACAGACUAUAAAUAUAAAACCAUGGUAAGGCAGGGCACAGACUGACGUUUGUUACCGCUUAGCUCAUAAAUCACAUCUGGACGUUAUCAAAUCACAACACUGGCUUUCACUGCGGGAUCACUCUCCCAGCCCUCCCAAGCGUCACCUCCUUGCUGACAGGAACACACAAAACAAGGGCUCAUGACUAACAAACAGCACCCACAACCCGCACCCAGCCCGGCCGGGUUACAAACCCUGUGGAAAGCAGGGCAGCACGCCCUAAACCUCCUCAUUAAUCCCGUAAUGGCUCGACUCGAAAUAAAGUGUUUGUCCCUCUGCACGCA